AAGACUAUAAUCAAGGCUGGCAGCUUCCUGGUGCUGUUGGUUUCAAGCAGGAGCCUAAAGAGAUGUCUUUCUGUGGUCUGUUGGCUAUUUCAGAACUUGGGCAGUGAAAUGGUCAAUUCAUUAGAAAGAAACAGCU
ensembl:snoRNA